AACGAACGCUGGCGGCAUGCUUAACACAUGCAAGUCGAACGAUCCCUUCGGGGUUAGUGGCGCACGGGUGCGGACCGCGUGGGAACCUGCCCUUAGGUUCGGAAUAACUCAGAGAAAUUUAAGCUAAUACCGGAGAAUGUCUUCGGACCAAUGAUUUAUCGCCUCUGGAUGGGCCCGCGUUGGCUUAGCUAGUUGGUGGGGUAAAGGCCUACCAAGGGGACGUUACCUAGCUGGUGAGAGAGGAUGGUCAGCCACACUGGGAGUGACGGACGGCCCAGAUUCGGGCGGGAGGAGGGGGUAAGAAAUAUCGAAGGACGGGAGAAAGCCGCAUCAACCAAGGGCGCGUGAUGGAUGACGUCGUGAGGGAAAUAGAGCUCGUUUGCCCCGGAGCGUGAUUACAGUUCAUGGGGAAUGAAGCACGGCUUACUCACUG
rnacentral:rRNA from 1 species